CCAAAAAACGAAAUGUUUUGGUCCUGAGCCUGCCGCUAUUUUUUACUAGACUUACACAUGCAAGCAUCCACACACCAGUGAAAAUGCCCACYUAAUCUAAUAAGACUAAUGGAGCUGGUAUCAGGCACACCAAUUUGCCAAUGACACCUUGCCACGCCACACCCCCACGGGUUCACAGCAGUGAUUAAUAUUAAAUAUAAGCGAAAGCUUGAUUUAGUCAUAGUAACCACAAAGAGCCGGUAAAUUUCGUGCCAGCCACCGCGGUUAUACGAAAGACCCAAAAUAACGGCCCCCGGCGUAAAGCGUGGUUAGAAGAACAAAAUUAAGGAUAAACACCCUCUCCGCUGUAAAACGCUUAAGAAGACAAGAAGCAUACCCCUUAAAACCAUUUAACACCACGAAAGCUGGGGUACAAACUGGGAUUAGAUACCCCACUAUGCCCAGCCGUAAACUUAGAUAGAAUAAUACUACCUAUCCGCCAGAGAACUACAAGCAAAAUACUUAAAACUCAAAGGACUUGGCGGCAUUCCACAUCAACCUAGAGGAGCCCGUCCAAUAAUCGAUAAUACACGCUCAACCCUACCAUUUUUGGCCACUCCAGCCUAUAUACCGCCGUCGCCAGCUAACCUUGUGAAAGAAAAGUAGUAAGCACAAUAGCCCCCACUAAAACGUCAGGUCAAGGUGUAGCUCAUAAAAUGGAUGUGAUAGGCUACAUUUUCUACCAUAGAAAACACGGAAAAUACAAUGAAACCCUGUAAUUGAAGGCGAAUUUAGAAGUAAAAUAAGAAAGGACCCUUACUUUAACACAGCCCUGGAAUGCGCACACACCGCCCGUCACCCUCCUCGGAACAACUAGAUGAGGCAAG
rnacentral:ncRNA from 1 species